rnacentral:rRNA from 1 species
AUUGAACGCUGGCGGCAUGCCUAACACAUGCAAGUCGAACGAGUGGCGGACGGGUGAGUAAUUUCUGGGAACCUGCCUGAUCGAGGGGGCUGACUGCUGUAAACGGUAGCUAAUACCGCUUACCGUCGGUUGUGCCCAGAUGGGAUUAGCGAGUGGGUGGGGUAAAGGCUCACCUAGGCGACGAUCCCUAGCUGGUCUGAGAGGAUGACCAGCCACACUGGAACUGAGACACGGUCCAGACUCCUACGGGAGGCAGCAGUGGGGGAUAUUGCACAAUGGGCGCAAGCCUGAUGCAGCCAUGCCGCGUGUAUGAAGAAGGCCUUCGGGUUGUAAAGUACUUUCAGCGGGGAGGCGUUACCCGCAGAAGAAGCACCGGCUAACUCCGUGCCAGCAGCCGCGGUAAUUC